AUACUUACCUGGCAAGGGCAAUACCAUGGUCAAGGAGGUUGUUUGCCCAUAGCGAGGCUCAGCCAUUGAACUCAGGCUGUGCUGAUCUUUGUGAAUUCCUUCAAAUGCGUGAAUCUCUCCUCGUGAUAGUGGGGGGCUGCGUUCAUGCUCUCCUCUU